CCGAGCAGGGACUGGGGCCCUUAAGGAGCACUCUCCUUGCUUCUGAGGCCAGAGGCCUCCCCCAGGGCACCCCUCCAGGCCUUGCCCUUGUCCCUCAUCCCUCCCCAGACACAGCUUGUCUGCGCCACGCUUUGCAGGAGUCACCUGCUCGGCCUGCCUUGCUCUCGUCCCUCGGGGAAUACACAUCUCCUUGUCUGCUAAGCUGCGAUUUUACAGGAUCAGCGUCCCAAGGGGAGGCCUGCACUCGUCCAGUUCUGCCUGUAACAGGCUGUCUGCCGAGACGUUAGCAUCAUCUCGCUGUUGAGCAGCGAAGCAGCAUUCUCCGAAUCCACUUUACGGGUAAUAACCGUGGCAUGUUGCACUCCAUCUGCCCAACUCUGUGUCUAACUCUUGAUUAUUCUCAACUCAGAGAAGAGAAGGAAUGGUAUUAUUGGCAUCCUCACACCCCAGUCCUCUCCAUGACGCUCAGCCCAUGCAAGUGACGGGGGAGUCCCCCGACACGCCACCUGACCUUCCCUGUGCUGAGGGCUCCAGACCUAAUCAAUCAACCUUUGGUCAUAGUGAUGGACUCAGAAUUGGGCACACAGUUCAAGUAGACUCAAAGAGAGGCUGUCCCUGGGAGUUACCAGAUUCUUUAGAGAAUCGAAGCUGUGAUUUCCACUGGGACUACUCAGAGUACACACAGUGCAGACCAAGACUUGUAGCGUGAGACCUCGGAGCCGCUGAGAGUAGGCUGAAGAAGCCGUGAUGCCCUUUCUCAAGGCCGUGUGAUGAAGGCGUGGAGGGCUGCACUUGGUACAGAGAGAGCCCGAGAGGGACUGUCGUGGAGAACUCCGGCCAGCAGCUUCUGACACCAACACGCACGCCCUGUCAGCAGCACUGUCAGCCUUUGGCAGAAGCAGAAGGAAAAUUUCUAACUGUGUUCAUUGCACUAUUGGAAUUUUUGUCUCAUCAGCCUCCCUUCUAGGAGAGUCUGGGACUGGAGAUAGAGAAGUCCAGGAGACAUCUCUCAAUGUCUGUGCCCACCUGGCUGGCUCAGCACCUGUGAGCAACACCUGGGGAGAGACCCCGCUAUGUCAGCGGUCUCUCUCGGUCCCUUGGACAGGGUCGAUCAGAUUGGGUGCAUUAAGAGGGCUGGAUUGGAGACAGAGCUGCCAGCACUUGAAUCAGCACCCGGAUUUGGGAUGCCGGCAUCGUAAGCAGUGGAUUAACCCGUUGUGCCACAACACCAGCCCCAGGUGACAAGUUUUUACAUUGUGUGUGAUCAUGUUUGUGCUGAGCAUUAAAAACAUG